UCUUCUUCCCAGCUGCUUUUCACCACCGUGCUGAUCCAGUUUUGUCCAGUUUUGUCCAGCAGAUGGUGGUGUGCCUUUGCCCAAUUUUUCCAAGAUGCAGAACACAUUGCAGGUAUUUCCAUAAUCUUAGGUGGACUAGAUAAACAAAAAAAUCCAAGAAGGUCUGAAAAUAAACGUAUCUUAUUUGCUUCGUAUUAACCUGGUAUAUAGUAACCUCCUUGCUAAGGCUAGUUCUGGGAAGGGGAUUUGUUGGUUCCUAGAAUAUAAAAUCAGUCUAAAACAUAAGGAUUUUACCUGUCUUAUGUGCUGUAACCAGUUUUUGCCAGGUGAGUUUGAGUUCUUUUAUCUGCUGCAGUAUGAAAUGGCACCAGAAGCUAGUCCCACCAUGGGGGUGUGAGCAAGGAAAAGUUGGGAUACUCAAUUCAGGGGCAGUGUUGCUUUAUGCUGUGUAAGUUUGAGUGGUGGGACUUGAGGGACUUCUGGCACGAAGCCAGAAGCUGCGUUGAAAAGCACAAACGCAGGGUUAUCAGAACAGCAUUCCUGUAACCCAAGUGGGACUUCCAGCGCUUAGUAAAGGACUGCUGCCGCCUGCUGGCAAUCUAGGUUUUCAGCUCCUCUAGUGCGAGGGCUGGCUAUGUGUCUGCUUAAAUUGCUUCACAGGAUAUAAAAAGUGUAAGAGAAAAUAUGAUCUUAGUGACAGCUCUGUACUGUUUUCCCGAUCUCUAAAUGUGCUGUGAAUCCACCUCUGAAGAGGUGGAGGACUGAAGUCCCAUAAUAGCUGAAUAUGUAUUUCAUAAAAAGUUUAGACUCUUGAUUUCAGAAUCAAAUCUGCAUCUCUCACUUGUCCAAAAUUUUGGAGGCGUUUUGUUUCAUACUUUUAUGUACAUUGCAACGUUUAUUUAUUUUUAGCCUGUUAGAUUCCAGUGCUCUACUAAAGGUUCUGCAACAGAAUAACACGAAGGCAUACAUUGCUACAGCUGUAAUUCUCCCCAUGAGCCUUUUUCUCGCAGCAGUGACUGGAACAGGGGUGCCUUACAGCUGCAGUGGCACGAGUGUGCUCAUGCUAAAGAAGAACAAAGUGUAAUAGGAGGUACUGCAAGAACAUCAACUGGCACUUUGCUCUAUGGCUGGCCAGAUAGAGAAGUCUAUUAGAGCCUAGAAAGUUAGCAGUACAAGGAGCAGCCUGUUCAAUGCUGGGGAUACGUACUUCAACUGUUCAUUAUUGAAAGUGUGGUGCCUUACAGAUACGUGGAUUUAAAAAUUAGUAACGAAUUCUAGCAUAGAAUUGAAUAGGUUGAAAGCAUUUGAUCUUGGAAUGUCACUGUUUUCAGAUGCCAAGUUUCAGUAAAUGAAAUAAGUUCUUUUUGUGCAUUCCUGGUGAAAACUUUAAAUAUUAAAACAUUUAAAGUCUCUUUAUAAAAUGAAAAAAUACAUUGAAAUUCCACAACUAAUGUGAAGCAUGCCCAUGAAUGGAAAAAAAUCAAAUUUGCCAAGUUUGAUCAAAACAUGAUCUUUCCAACUGCAGACUAUAUAAAACCAGUAUGUUGCUUGAAACUUUUGCUAUAUUCUCUCUAUUUUUAUACCUCUUAGCAGCAGUAGAAACUAAAUGAGCCAAAUGUCUUUUAGGAACGUUGUUGUUUUUAGGAUAGAGCAUGAUAGCUAAUCAAUUCAGUGACACUUAAACAGCCAUAAAAGUCCUCCUUUUAAUUAAAAUAGGAUGAUAGAGAUAAAUUUAAAAGCCAUUAGACUUCUGUAUCUACUAUUCCACCUAUUGUACAGCAUACAUGUAUUUUGUGUUUGGUUAUGUGUUGCCCUUUUUUUAUGAGUGCAUAGUAACAUUACAAGGAAAAGGCAACGAUGAGCCUCAUGGUCUGCUGUUUGUCAUCUGAGAAUAUGCCAAAGCUGCCAGUUUACUUCAUACCCCAGCAAGUCCUAAGCAAUAGGGGCCCUGGAGGAGUGUUCUUGCCUUGCUUUGACUUGAUUGAGCCACUUUGUGUCAUUCAGUCAAAACCCACAGGUCCUCACACUUGUCCACUCAGUUGAACAAGUUACACUAGAGUGGAGUGAGGAAAGGAGUGAAGAAUAAGGGGUGAUAAACACUAUCUACAGGUAGCUACAGGGAGAAGUGAAGCAAUCUUGGUUACACAGUGAGAGUGAAUUUGCUAUUCACCCUUGGGAUUUGAGAGGGGGAUUAAGGAAUGGUGGAGCAUUAUUUAAAAUUGGAGCAUUCACUCACAUACUGUUUCAGAUUCAUCUUGCACUUUGUUUAUUGCUUGGAUACAUGAAGUUGAAGGUUUUUCUUUUAAAAUAUGAAAUUAAAUUUAAGUAUCAGAACAGUUACUAACACAACUAUAAUUUGUUUUGAACUUUUUGGUUUUGGGGGUAGAGGAGUACCUGUCAAAAUAUUUGUUGACCAAUACAGCUUGUCAUUGCAUUUAGAGAAGAUUUGGAUUAUUCUGUGUGGUUUGGUGGGUUUUUAUAUUUGUUUUUUAAUGGGUUUUUUUAGUUGGUUGGGUUUUUCUUUAUUGUAAUUUGAUUUCUGAAGAGUGAGGCAAUACUGGCACCUCCAUGAUUCUACAGGAGAAAACUGAGGGACCUGGUUAAUUCAAGAUGUUCUUAUUCUGUAAGAGUGCUGCUCCACUGGUCUUGAAUAACCAGUUUAAACCCUUGAUUAGUAAAAAUCAGAUCAUGCAAAUAUAUGAAUUUGUCCUUAGAGAAGUCUGGAGAUACAGCUAUGUAUAAAAGCUUUUAUUUAUUUAUUUGUAUGGCUAGGAAUAAAGGCAAGAUCUUAUUACCCGCUCCAUCUUUCCCCCAGGCUGCUUACUAAAAACACAGAAAGGGCAGCUGGCAAAAAAAAACAAACCGUGAAAACUUGGAAAAUCUUAGAACCUUCAUCACCUACAGCUUUUUUCUGUUCUGAAGAUUAUUUUCCCCCA